GAUGAACGCUGGCGGCGUGCCUAAUACAUGCAAGUCGAGCGAACUGAUUAGAAGCUUGCUUCUAUGACGUUAGCGGCGGACGGGUGAGUAACACGUGGGCAACCUGCCUGUAAGACUGGGAUAACUUCGGGAAACCGAAGCUAAUACCGGAUAGGAUCUUCUCCUUCAUGGGAGAUGAUUGAAAGAUGGUUUCGGCUAUCACUUACAGAUGGGCCCGCGGUGCAUUAGCUAGUUGGUGAGGUAACGGCUUACCAAGGCAACGAUGCAUAGCCGACCUGAGAGGGUGAUCGGCCACACUGGGACUGAGACACGGCCCAGACUCCGACGGGAGGCAGCAGUAGGGAAUCUUCCGCAAUGGACGAAAGUCUGACGGAGCAACGCCGCGUGAGUGAUGAAGGCUUUCGGGUCGUAAAACUCUGUUGUUAGGGAAGAAUAAGUACAAGAGUAACUGCUUGUACCUUGACGGUACCUAACCAGAAAGCCACGGCUAACUACGUGCCAGCCGCCGCGGUAACAC
rnacentral:rRNA from 1 species